GGAAACUAUUCUCAGAAAUUAAAAUGAAGCAUCCAGGGACUUGCAAUACGAUGCUGAGCCUUCCAGCUAUUCUCUAUUCUUCCCUGUCUGAACAGCGUGUUUCUACAUCAAAUGCCUGCAAAGGAAAUGCAAUCAGAAAGAAAGUAAAAUAUUGCCCGCAGUCAUCUGAGGCAUCCUGCUGUGUUGUAUGGGUAAAGACCUGGCUGUAACCAAGGAAAAGGUCUGGAACCCUUCUGUAAAUGCUGGCCUUCAGCGGGGGGAUGCUUUUCCACAGGGAAAGGGGAAGGUGCAGGGUGCCCGGGGAGCUACUGGGGAAGUGAUGCUUUGAAGCUGUGGCUGCGGAGCCAGGUGCCGCUCAGGAAGGUGGCAGUCUCCCCGCGGCCUCUCGUGCCGCCCUCUGGCAAGCGGGGCUCUCUUUGUGCUGCUGCCGCUAAGCAGAAUGCUCUCGUGGACGUGGGCGGUGCUGGGUUUGCUCCUUUUCAUGUGGCUGACCAGAGCACAUGAAGGCAGACAAACGUACUUGUUUGUUCUCCUCGUGCAGCAACUUCAUCCAUACACAGUGGUGCUCAUGGAUGUAAAACGAACUCCCUCCUCACCAGAUUGUUGCUUGUCUAUCCAAUCCUCGUGA
rnacentral:lncRNA from 1 species